rnacentral:lncRNA from 1 species
UCGUGCUGCCAGCAGCUUCCGCCUGCUGCGGUCCUGGCAAGCACCUCGGGAUCCCAUUCCUUCACAGGGACCCUAGCCAGUUAAAGCUGAUACAUUCCUGUGGGUCAACUAUGCAACUAACUCAGAUUUUGAGCAAACAAAGCUCUCAAGUUGGUGAUCCUCAGGAGUCUCUGCAUUAGUUGGACAGCUCUUCUGGAAUUAUCUUCUAAGUCAACUGUGGGUUGGGUAGGUGGCUCUGCUGAUUUUUCGCUGGACUUCCACAUUUGGGACCAGUUGGCUGUCAUCAGCUCUAGAAAGGGUGUGGCCGUUUUACAUUGGCUGUUUUCCUCACAUUCCUCAAGCAGGUACUGUAGUAAAGAACUGGAGAAAUACAGUCAGAUGGGAAGUAGCCCCUACUGUCAAGGAGCUUGCCAUCUAAUGGGGGAGACAGGCAAGUAAACCAAAGACUACACAGUGCAGUAUGAAUUUCCUUUCAUCUCUGGUAAAAGUCAGCUCUCUAACUACUGCAUCUCACAGCUGAACAGAUAACUGAUACCGUGCUUCCAGAAGAUUUUUCUAACAGUGUUUGCAGGCUAUAAAAUAGUGCUUUCACUUGGAAAAGGCUAGACGUGGUGGUUCAUGCCUGUAAUCCCAGCACUUUGAGAGGCCGAGGCACCAUGCCGGGAGAUAAGGAUC